rfam:Firmicutes bacterium CAG:882 genomic scaffold, scf324
UUUGGGAGAAGCUUAGGUGUUCUUAUGGCUCUGUUUAAUGUACAGCCACAGACGGCACGGAUGCCGGAUGAGUUGCAAACAGCCAUGGAUGGCAGAUUUUGCAACGGUGGCGAAAGCAGAAGAAAACUUUUCAGAGCCAUUAGAACAGCUUGCUUCGUACAAC